rnacentral:rRNA from 1 species
UACGUAGGUGGCGAGCGUUGUCCGGAUUUACUGGGCGUAAAGGGAGCGUAGGCGGACUUUUAAGUGAGAUGUGAAAUACUCGGGCUCAACUUGAGUGCUGCAUUUCAAACUGGAAGUCUAGAGUGCAGGAGAGGAGAAUGGAAUUCCUAGUGUAGCGGUGAAAUGCGUAGAGAUUAGGAAGAACACCAGUGGCGAAGGCGAUUCUCUGGACUGUAACUGACGCUGAGGCUCGAGAGCGUGGGGAGCAAACAGG